GACGAACGCUGGCGGCGUGCUUAACACAUGCAAGUCGAGCGGAAAGGCCCUUCGGGGUACUCGAGCGGCGAACGGGUGAGUAACACGUGAGUAACCUGCCCCAGACUUUGGGAUAACCCUCGGAAACGGGGGCUAAUACCGGAUACGACACAGCUUCGCAUGGGGUCUGUGUGGAAAGUUUUUCGGUUUGGGAUGGGCUCGGGGCCUAUCAGCUUGUUGGUGGGGUGAUGGCCUACCAAGGCGACGACCGGGAGCCGGCCUGCGAGGGCGACCGGCCACACUGGGACUGAGACACUGCCCAGAUGCCUACGGGAGGCAGAGGUGGGGAAUAUUGCACAAUGGGCGGAAGCCUGAUGCAGCGACGCCGCGUGAGGGAUAACGGCCUUCGGGUUGUAAACCUCUUUCAGCAGGGACGAAGCGUAAGUGACGUUACCUGCAGAAGAAGCGCCGGCCAAGUACGUG
rnacentral:rRNA from 1 species